AUUACCCAUUUUACAGAUUUAUUUGAUCUUCAUGCCCCCAUUUUACAGACGAGGAAGCUGAGGCUGGGAGAAGUGAGAUGCCCCUUAGCUGCCCCACCCCCACCCCCCAUCUGCUACUGGCAAGUUUAAAUACCAGCCUGUUUCAGCUCAGAAGUUCAAGCAAUUCUCCUGCCUCAGCCUCCCGAGUAGCUGGGAUUACAGGCAUGAACCACCACGCCCGGCUAAUUUUGUAUUUUUAGUAGAGACGGGGUUUCUCAUGUUGAGGCUGGUCUCGAACUCCUGACCUCCAGGUGAUCCGCCCGCCUCGGCCUCCCUAAGUGCUGGGAUUACAGGCGUCAGCCACCCCGCCCGGCCGGCCUGAAUUUAAAAAUCAAAGUGGCAGCCUGUUGUCCUCGGUUCCUUAGUGUUGGAAAGGGUCUAGUCACAUCCUUGUGCUGGGUGCUUGGCUGGGUGGAUGGGGCUUUAAGGGAGACAGAAAACAGAAACCGCCUCUCCACUGCGCAUCACAUUUGCUGUUAAAAGAAUUCCGCAUGCUUCACAAGGGCUGCCUCCAGAGUCCUUUGCAAAUCCCCAAAUUGGCAAUUCCUGCUACUGUAUUUAAUUUCCCACUAAACUGCAGAAAAAUUUAACAGAAAAACUUCAGUGUCCCCUUCAGACUGCACGAUGCUCUAAAUGAACAUUAAUUCUGCCGCAAAAAUAAGCUCAACACCACCUUACAUUGCACUAUUUGCAUGAGAACACUGAACAUUACUUUCUAGAAUCUACACAGUCAACUCUAGCUGUUGACUUUCUCCAGGGGCGUGGGAGAGGUAUGUUUCACCAACGAUGUCACUUUAGGGCAGGUACAGCGUGCAUGACUGCAUGGCCCACAGAAGCAGGACCCAACAAUGACAGUGGCUCAGUGGAUCCAGGAGCAGUCCUCUGGCCACGUGGCCUUCUCUCUUGCUUUCCUAUUGAAACCUGCACGUGCCCAUGUGUUAGAGACACGAGUUUGCAACUCUGGCCUUGGAUAAAUUCUUAGCGUCUGCAACCUCAGCUAGGUCUACAUCUUUUCUGGGACAAAAAUUCCAAGGAGUCCCUAUUCCCUCAGUAAAUACCUCCCUCUAAUGGGUGGGGGCUAGGGUUGGACAAGGGUAGGUUUGGGGGAGAGUGAGGAAGAAGUUCCACAGGACAGGUUUCCACCUAACAGAGCAGGGCACUUUGUAUUGGAAGGUCAUGGAAGCUGAGGCUGGAGGUUCGCUUGCUCUCCUCUUUCUGGACUCGAAUGAGUUGUCAUUUGCCUCUGCUGGAAGCAGUUGGUCUCACUUUCUGCUGAAUUCCUGGACUCAUUUAUCGGCCUUGCCUCCUAGAGUGUUUUAUUUUCUUCGUAAACUGCCUUUACUUUAUUAAGAUUCAUCUCUAAUUGAUCUUUUCUGUACAGAGGCUACCCAUGAGAAGCUGCCCAGCAGAGCUAAUAAAUAAAGGCAGGAGGAACAUGAGUUGGGAUAUCGGUAGCACCCAGCAAGUGGCCACCAUUAUUAUGACCUUGUGUACAUUUUUAAAUCUCUGUGCCUCAGUUUCCUCAUCUGUAAAGUGAGGAUAGCAAUAAUGCAUGAUCUCAUAGGGUGAGGCUUAAAUAAGCUGUUGUAGGAAAAACACUUAAAACAAUGGCUGCCCCAUAGAAAAGACCCAGGAAUGUUAGCUAUCAAAUAAUUCAGUACUGAAAUAAUGGAAUAAUGAAGAGACAGUAUGGCAUGAUGAAAACGACAUGGUCUGUAAUUUCAUAUAAUCCAUGUCUAGGUUUUACCACUUAUUAGCUCUCAGCAGAAAAGUUCUCCCCACUCUAUGAGCCUAAGUUUCAUUUUCUCCAAAUGGGAAUAAUGAUUGUACGGCCUCCUGGGGUUGCUGGCAAGGUUCAUUAACUUUAAAUGUCUCACUGUGCAAAAGCCAGUCACCACAGCAGGCCUGACUGCAAGGCUUGGCCUGGGGCUGGCAUCUGGGAAGGUGGAUUUCAAGAGAGUUCCCACCACUUCCUGACAAGAGUAGUUCACUGUGACUAAACCAUUUGCACAAACAGCAUGGUUUAUGCUGGACACCUGCUUUCCUUCUGGGAAUGUUGUCACAUCCCAGGCAGAUGGUGUCUAUGUGACCAGCCCCCAAUAAAAACCCUGGACACUGAGUCUCUAAUGAGCAGUUCACAGGUGUUGUUACAAUUCAUUGCUAAGGAAAUCCUGUGUGUCCUGGGCAGCUCUAGGGGGAGAGAGCUCUGUAAGCUUCCACCUGGCUUCUUCUGUACUUAGUUCUCAGUGCCUUUUCCAUGUACUGAUUUUGCUCGGUAUCCUUUCAC
rnacentral:lncRNA from 1 species